rnacentral:rRNA from 1 species
AUUGAACGCUGGCGGCAGGCUUAACACAUGCAAGUCGAGCGGGGGAAGGUAGCUUGCUACUGGACCUAGCGGCGGACGGGUGAGUAAUGCUUAGGAAUCUGCCUAUUAGUGGGGGACAACAUCUCGAAAGGGAUGCUAAUACCGCAUACGUCCUACGGGAGAAAGCAGGGGAUCUUCGGACCUUGCGCUAAUAGAUGAGCCUAAGUCGGAUUAGCUAGUUGGUGGGGUAAAGGCCUACCAAGGCGACGAUCUGUAGCGGGUCUGAGAGGAUAAUCCGCCACACUGGGACGGAGACACGGCCCAGACUCCUACGGGAGGCAGCAGUGGGGAAUAUUGGACAAUGGGGGGAACCCUGAUCCAGCCAUGCCGCGUGUGUGAAGAAGGCCUUAUGGUUGUAAAGCACUUUAAGCGAGGAGGAGGCUACUUUAGUUAAUACCUAGAGAUAGUGGACGUUACUCGCAGAAUAAGCACCGGCUAACUCUGUGCCAGCCGCCGCGGUAA